rnacentral:lncRNA from 1 species
UUUUAAUCUUGAUUAAUUAUUGAUUUAUUAAACUAAACUCUUAUUAAAUAAUAAAAAUCAAAUAAUCAAGAGUUCUAUCAUUAUUAUUUUCAAGUAAAUCAAAACUCUACUUUAUUUUCAAGAUAAAAUAAAACUUUUUUUAAAUUAAAUAAAAACUCUACUUUAUUUUCAAAAUAAAAUAAAACUUAUUUCACAAUAAAAUCAAAACAGUUCCAAAUAAUGCAACUAAAACACUCGAUCAACUUUUAGUUUUUUUUUUCUGCUUAUCCGAAGCGGUUAAAAUAUUCAAACUCUUUUUCUAAACAAACACGAAAGAAG